rnacentral:lncRNA from 1 species
CUGACGGCUUGCCUAGAAGAAGUAGUUUCAAAUUGUAGCAAUGGUUUGUUGCCAAUGGAAACUUUGGCUGGAGGCUUCGUUUUGGAUCAAACGACAUCCACAAAUUUUUCACGUACACCAUCUCAUAAAUUAAAACCUGAUGAAAUUAUUUAUGUGGUAUAUUUGCAUAAUUUUGAGUCCUUGCUUUCGUCAGAUUGGUAGAGGAUUAUCGAUGUUGAAUGAAAUUUCGGA